rnacentral:rRNA from 1 species
AUACGGAAGGUCCGGGCGUUAUCCGGAUUUAUUGGGUUUAAAGGGAGCGCAGGCGGAGAUGCAAGCGUGACGUCAAAUUUCGGGGCUCAACCCCGUCUCGCGUCGCGAACUGCGUCCCUUGGUUGCGGGAAGGGGAGGCGGAACUCGUGGUGUAGCGGUGAAAUGCAUAGAUAUCACGAAGAACUCCGAUCGCGAAGGCAGCCUUCCGGCCCUUCAACGACGCUCAUGCUCGAAGGUGCGGGUAUCAAACAGGAUUAGAUACCCUGGUAGUCCACGCCGUAAACGAUGGGCGCUCGUCGUCGGCGGCAGACAGUCGGCGGCCAAGCGAAAGCGAUAAGCGCCCCACCUGGGGAGUACGGCCGCAAGGCUGAAACUCAAAUGAAUUGGCGGGG